rnacentral:rRNA from 1 species
AUCGAAAACAAACCCAAACCUUUUCGAGCCGAUCGCCUCGAAAGAGCAAACCGCCCGUGCCUCGUAACCUAGGAACUCCGUCGAUCUGAAACCCAAGGCCGCAACAGCCAGAGCUUCGUCCUCCAAGAAGCCACGAAGGAACGAGUGUGAAUGUUCUAAUGAUGUCAAAAGCCGGCAAGAAGUCUAGUAGUAGUAAUUCCAUGUACGAAGCUCCCCUCGGUUACAAGAUUGAGGACGUUCGCCCUGCCGGAGGAAUCAAGAAGUUCCAAUCUGCUGCCUACUCCAACUGCGCCCGCAAGCCCUCCUGAUAUUCCCUUCGCAUGCCUUUCAACGUAGCAUAGGAUUCUUUACUGCAAUUUCCCUUUCCUUUUGUCCAAUAAACCUUUUGUCCAAUAAAUCUCCCUUGGCUGGCUGCUUCCUCCGCUACUUGGCUUGUCCUCUCCGAUCUCCUCUGUCCUCUAUCAUCCUCCCUUCUUCCUCGCGACACUUGAUCAGAUGGAAAUGUCUUUGGCUGACUGCUGGGCCCCUGCCCCCGCCUCCCCUAUUGGGUUUGAGGGCUACGAGAAGCGCCUCGAGAUAACUUUCUCCCACGCGCCUGUCUUUGUGGACCCGUGCGGCCGUGGCCUUCGCGCCCUCUCUCGACACCAGAUCGACUCCUUCCUCGAUCUUGCACGGUGCACCAUUGUGUCCCAGCUCUCGAACAAGCAGUUUGAUUCUUAUGUGCUCUCGGAGUCGAGCCUCUUUGUGUACUCCCACAAGGUUGUCAUCAAAACCUGUGGAACAACAAAGCUCCUGCUGUCGAUUCCCCGCAUCCUUGAGCUUGCUGCGGAGCUGUCGCUGCCACUUCUUUCAGCCAAGUAUUCCCGCGGGACGUUCAUCUUCCCCGGCGCGCAGCCGGCGCCGCACCGCAGCUUCUCGGAGGAGGUGUCCGUGCUGAACGGCUUCUUUGGUGGCCUCAAGUCAGGUGGCAAUGCAUAUGUGAUGGGUGAUGCGUUCAGGCCCAAGAAGAUGUGGCACGUCUACUACGCCACGGAGGAGCCUGAGCAGCCCAUGGUGACGCUCGAGAUGUGCAUGACUCGGCUGGACGCCAGGAAGGCCGCGGUGUUCUUCAAGAACUCUGCCGACGGCGGCUGCUCCUCGGCCAAGGAGAUGACCAAGGUCUCUGGCAUCUCUGCUAUCAUCCCCGAGAUGGAGAUCUGUGACUUCGACUUCGACCCGUGCGGGUACUCGAUGAACGGCGUCUCCGGCCCUGCAGCCUCCACCAUCCACGUCACUCCUGAGGAGGGCUUCAGCUACGCGAGCUAUGAAGCGAUGAACUUCAACCCUGGCUCCCUGGUUUACAGUGACCUGAUCAAGAGGGUGCUGUCAUGCUUCCGCCCGUCAGACUUCUCCGUCGCCGUCACCAUCUUCGGUGGCCAAGGCUUCGCCAAAUCAUGGGCGGCCGGUGCGGAGGUCUGCUCCUACCUGUGCGACGAUCUCGUCGAGCAGGAGCUUCCGGGCGGUGGCCUGCUCAUGUACCAGAGCUUCAGUGCAGUUGCCCCUGGCGCCGUGUCCCCGAGGUCGACCCUGGAUGAUGGCUGGAGCAGCGACGGGAUGGAGAUGGCCGCGCAGGGCGAGGAGGCGUGCGUCUGGGGAGUGGAGAAGAAGGUGACCGAGAAAGGUGUCGCUGCCUGAGAGAAAUCUGCGGUUCCAGAGACGUCUGAAGUCUCUGAGAUGGUGUCCUGCUAUAGUAGUUUCGGUUAAGCAGCUGGCCGGGUGAUCGGCAAAGCGUACUGUAUCCCGUGUUACUGCUUUUAUUAUUUUUCGGUUGUUAUUCCUGCCGAAUAAGUGCUCUAGAUGGUCUGCUGCGUCUGCCAUAUAGUGAGCAAAAGAGUCUAUUCUGGGGAGAAUGUACUAAAUAUUUAUGUCUGUCGCCAAUGCUCUUGUGGGGAGGACGAUAUUGUAACUUACUGCUACCUCGUUCAUAAUAUGAGAGUGUUUUUGACACUAUGUUCAAUCAAAUGUUGGAGUUCUCCGUUAA